ensembl:lncRNA
UGCCUGUUCUGGCUUGAUCAUGAUGUCCUCAUUCCACAUGAAGAUAAAGCUGAAUUGGAGAGUCUGAUUUGACCUUAUUUUGGCUGAAGCACGGAAAGUCACUAAAGGAGAAGAACAACCACCAGCCAAAACCUCCAGACCUGUUCUCUGGCUACCGCAACAAGAUCGGCAAGAAGAAAGGAGACAAAGUCAUCUGUCAGAGCAGAGAUUAUUCGCUACAUUUAAGGAUCUUCUGAUGAAAAUGAAGUUGAUUGCUUGGAUUUUUAGGAGAAUCCAUGCAAAAGACUAAGGCUCAAGCAGUUAGCAAUGACAGUGCUGGCUGUGCCUGCCACCAGUGCCCCAGCAGAGAGAGCGUUUCAUCAAUGCUCCCUCAUCAUGCCAGGCCCAAUGCAAGAAUGCUGAC